GGUUUGAGUUUUUCUUACCAUUCUUCUUUUUCUUAGAAAUCAAAUGUCAUUGCACUCUUAAUAUGAGAAAAAAUGGUGACCAUACUGAUAUUCUUAAAAAAGGAAUAGUGGUAAGUUCCCUUAUGUGUCACAUUACUCCGUGUAGUCCAAAUUAAGUGAAUUAUUGAGACUUUUUUCGUAGUUCAAAGUAAGCGAAUUAUUCAAAGUUCACGAAAAUUGUUGGAACUCUUUUCCAUAGUUACUCUUCAUUUAAUGAGAUUCUUAACUUUUUAACAUUUUCUAGGAGACUAGUUUGAAAAUAAUCAAAAGGGUAAUAGUGGAAAAGUUGCACUGAGUAUUCUUGUUAUAAAUGUCGAAUACCAAAAAUUUUAAAUAGGCAUGCCAAAUAUCAUAAUAUUGGAAGUGUGGUGUCAAAAAUUUCAGUUUUGGUAUCUACCAUACCAUGCCAACCCCUAAUUAUGAUCGAACUAUGGAAAUUUGUGCUAUUAACCUGAAUAUAUUAAAUGAAUCUAGUUCGCACUAGCAUAUAACUAAAGUAAUUCUCUUGACUUUCAUUGUAGACAUUAAAAACUUUUGUUUUAUUGUAUUGGAUUUCAAUGGUGUUCGGGCCAACUAACACACACCUAUACUAAUUUCACGGUGUACCUACUAUCUCCCACCAACAAUGGUACCUGUAAUUUUGUCCACCAAGGGUUAUAUAGAUGGAAAGAGAUCAACUAUCUUUUUUGCCUUCACUGGGAUUUGAUUCGAGACCACAUGGUUCUUAAUCCACUUCAUUGACUCCUAGGCCACACCCUUUGGUGCACAAUAGUCAUAUAGACACUUUUUGUGGGCUGCUAUUAUGCGUUAUGCAAUAGUUUUGAGAACUCGUUUAGUUGAUCUUGCUUUUGUGGCUUCAUUGCAACAACAUUAGGACUUCUAAUCAACCAUGGUUAUCAUGAAUUUAACAUAGUGUUUCAAUAUGAUGCAUUCAUUACAAUGUUGUCUCAGAAGGAAGAUGGAUGUGUUGCUGGUUUCUUGGAAGAGCGCUUGAACGUGGGUCUUAAUUUCAUUUUAUCAGCCAAGGUCAAUCAAAAAAGAAGACUACAAGUUUGGCUUUGGACUCACAGUUAGAGAACAGAUGAGGUAGUUUGAACAGGGAUUAGGUUUUGAUAUAUAAGCACAAGUAAAAUUGAAAGCAUCUUAGCAAGUGAUCUGUUUUCUCAACGAUAAAAGAAUCGACUUCUCACUUACUUACUACUUACUCAUUAAAUACCAGCUUGAACAAGGAAAGUGGUCCCUUACCUUCUCUAUUUCCUUCCCUGUGUUUGGCUGCUUUUUCUUCCUUUUUCCAUACUUGAGGAGAUAGAGAUCGCCAGGUUCAACUUCCACUGGUGAUGGUGAUUCCUUCUUGAAAACAGUAUUUUCUAUUGAAUCUGAAUAUUCUAAUAAUAAGAUCAAAUCAAUUCCUAUUCGAAAAGAGGAAGUAUAUUUAUCAAGCUGACAUUGUUUCUGGAGCAUCCUUAUCAACUGGUGCAACUAGUCACUUGUAGUUGGCCUAGACACCACGGUUAUCAAUAAAUAUAAAGUUUAUGUUUUACAACCCAAGAUUUUGGGUUUUACAUUAUCCAUGUGCUUUUAUUGUAUGAUGUGAUUAGUGAAAAUCCAGGGAUUUGGGAUUGAGACUUAUUUGUUUUGUUGUUGUACUUAAAUGCACACUUACCAAUUCUUUAGGUAUGGUAACUAAUCUUUCUAAUGCACUUAUUA